rnacentral:rRNA from 1 species
ACGAACGCUGGCGGCUGCUUAACACAUGCAAGUCGAACGGAGUGGCGAACGGGUGAGUAACGCGUGAGCAACCUGCCUAUGACAGUGGGAUAGCCUCGGGAAACCGGGAUUAAUACCGCAUAGUCAUAGAUGGGCUCGCGUCUGAUUAGCUAGUUGGUGAGCUAACAUCCCACCAAGGUGACGAUCAGUAGCCAGUCUGGUAGGAUGAACGGCCACAUUGGAACUGAUACACCGUCCAAACUCCUACGGGAGGCAGCAGUGGGGAAUAUUGCACAAUGGAGGAAACCCUGAUGCAGCGACGCCGCGUGAACGAAGAAGGUAUUCGUAUAGUAAAGUUCUGUCCUAUGGGAAGCAGUACCAUAGAAGAAAGCUCCGGCUAAAUACGUGCCAGCAGCCGCGGUAAUAC